UAGGUAGGUAGGUAGGUAGGUAGGUAGGUAGGUAGGUAGGUAGGUAGGUAGGUAGGUAGGUGGGUAGGUGGGUAGGUAGGUAGGUAGGUAGGUAGGUAGGUAGGUAGGUAGGUAGGAUUUACAUCAACAUACAAUACAGGAAGGUUCAUACAGUAAGAUGCCUAGCUGGCUCCAGAUCUAUUUGUGCUCCUACUGUACUGUCGUUGUCAUGCCAAACAUGACUGUAUGAUUUAGCAAGACGGCACACAUAGAUCUAGUGGGGUCUCUAUAACAUAUAUCUCAUCAGCAGGCAACAGAGACGUGAUUGCUGGUCAUUCUAGUGCAGAAUAGAGACAUGAUUACUGGUCAUUCUAGUGCAGAACAGAGGACACUAACAGAGAACAGAGACAUGAUUACUGGUCAUUCUAGUGCAGAACAGAGGACACUAACAGAGAACAGAGACAUGAUUACUGGUCAUUCUAGUGCAGAACAGAGACAUGAUUACUGGUCAUUCUAGUGCAGAACAGAGGACACUAACAGAGAACAGAGACAUGAUUACUGGUCAUUCUAGUGCAGAACAGAGGACACUAACAGAGAACAGAGACAUGAUUACUGGUCAUUCUAGUGCAGAACAGAGGACACUAACAGAGAACAGAGACAUGAUUACUGGUCAUUCUAGUGCAGAACAGAGGACACUAACAGAGAACAGAGACAUGAUUACUGGUCAUUCUAGUGCAGAACAGAGGACACUAACAGAGAACAGAGACAUGAUUACUGGUCAUUCUAGUGCAGAACAGAGGACACUGACAGGGAAGGCAGGUCUGAUGCAGCAUACUAACCCACACAAGGAACAACAGGGAAGAGGGGAGGAAAGACAGAAUAAAAGAGCACUUAUUAAGGCGGUCUGCCGUUACCUUUCUUUAGAAGGAAACCUGAGAGGUUGGAUAGAAACGGAAGAUGUGUCA